UGCGCAGAAAAAAACUUGGCAAUCUCACUAACCCAUUCCCAAGUGGGGCCGGCAUGCUGAAGGGCAGGGCAAUUUGAAAUCGUGCGUACUCGCAUUGAUUUCCCUUCUUGAGCGGCAAUGGGGAGUGUGGUAGCGGUCCAGUAUCUACCUGUGGCCCGGACUUUUUAAGCAAUAGCCUUUCUCCCGUUCACAAGCAGGGUCGGCUCGUCGUAAUCGGCUUCCAAACACAAAUUUAUUUUUUCCGGAUCGUAUAAAUAGUGUUAGUUGAUAUCAAUCGAUUUGCCUCAAAAAAUUCAUCGCGAUCCCGAAAAAGUACUUGAAAGAAUAUAAUGAAAGUAAAAAUGGUUCUACUGAAACAAGUGUUUAUCACUCUUUAACUGUUGAAGUUUCAUUUGCAAUCGUCUCAGAUAAUUUCAAUAUUAAUAUUUGCGGUAAUAGCAAUGUAAAAGAUAAUGGUAAUAUUUGAUGUUGCACAUGUGAAAAGUGUGUCACGUUCACAGCUUUAAUUUUGUAUUCACAGGUAGUAGUAAUAUAAAAGCACUUUACUCAUUUAUGUUAUUAAUGUGGUAAGAAAUACUAUUAAUAAUUGUGAUUGCCCGAAAUUGACCCGCGAUUUAUUGUAUAAUAUAAUAAACUGGUUAUUGGGAGCUUGAAAUAUUCGAUUUUGUGCUGAAUGUUUAACAAGUCGGAAACGGGAAGCUCGGUGCGUCAGAUAUGAAUGAGUUUGUUGAUAUUUUAAGUAAUAAUGUUUGGGUACACGAUGCUUUCAUUUCUACAUAACUAGUAGUGGAUAUCCGUUGACAUCUCCUAAUGGGUACCAAUUUGACCCAAAAGAAGCAACUUUAACACCCGGCAGGUUUCUUAAUAAUAGUAAGAUUUUAAUUUAAUUUGAAUUAUGAUAUUUGCAGUAAUAGCCACAUUUUAUGUAAAAGAUUACCACUAUCUUGAUGUUGCAGACGCGAAAACACAGAUUUAAUUUGAUAUUCACAGCUAGCAGCCAUAUUGUUGCGAGAAGAUUGGCGGACAUAACUAACUUCACUAAUUUGAUAAGCGCUCGACAGCGAUGGGCAAGAAGUGGUUGAAUAAGAUCAACGCUAGUUUCUUAUGUGUUUAACAUUAGUGGAUUAACAAAAUUCAUGAUACUACUUCUAGCUUGGAAAAACAAAUAACUAUAAAAAGACUCUUCUCAUUAUUUAUUUAUUUUCUAGAGGUUUCACAAUCUGGGCAAGUUACGGAUUUCAUAUAAUACUGCCACUAAGUGCCAAGCAUUUAGGCUCUGACCAUCCCACCUACUUCAAAGAUAAAGGAGCGCUGGUGGUGGUGGCCGGUGGUAGGUAAAUGGAAGAAUCCGUAGAGAACUCCCCGCAAUCUCGAGCAUGAAUGUGGAAUGGUAUCUUUUUGCAUAGUUCCAGGACAUCAGAGGAAGCCAUGAGGGAUUUUGGUACAAUACAUGUAUUAUGGCAUCUACAACCAACCGCUCGAGAUGCCAAAUUUCUUUGAUUUCCAAACAAGUGCCUCAUAGUUCACCGUAUUCUCCACGUACUUACGUUCAAUGUUGCUGUUUUGGGGUAUAGCAAUAUCAAUAAUGUGCGCAGAACGACCCGUCUCUGAACUAACAGGACAUUGGGUUUGUUUUACAAUACAUACUGUAAACAGGACGAUUAGGUAGUGCCUGGGGCUCAUAUCAGUAAAACGGACAUGUUCCCGUGAUCAUUCCAUGUUUGUAUGCAAAGCUUUGGUUAAUCACUUUACAUGCAGCAUUGUGUAUUGCACCGCCGCCAUUAUAGUGCAACCAGAAAUAAGAUGGUCCAACGUCUCCAGUGCCGAACCAUAUAUUCUGCAUUGGUCGUUCGCCACCCGCUUUUCAUAAACUCGGGUGGCGACCACGCCGACCCGAAUAGCACACAUAAAUCCCUUCGUCUCAGCAAAGAGCUCUCCAGCACACAGCCAUCUGUUCGACAAAUAUAAAUUGAUAAAUGGUUGCGAAAGACCAUUGACGUGUUUAUCAUGCGUUGCCAUCGAAAUCAUUCAUCGAUCCGUUUUUGGUGUGAGUUCACCCCACUUAGGGAAUGGAAAGAUCGCUCCUUCAAGUAAGUCGAACAAAUAAAUGAAAAAUAUCAUUGUAACAAAAAAUUUAAAUGAUAAAGACCAAAAUAUUAUAUUACCACGACAUAAUUUGAUUAAAUACGCAAAUUCUCAAAUAAAUAUAAAUAACCUUACGUUUAAGAACCAAAUGUACUACAUUGAAAAUAACGUCAUACUACCCAAUGUAAUUAGGAAUAUUAGCUGUGGGGAAUAUAGUAAUUUGACUUUGUAAUAUGUUCAUCAUAAACAUUUGGAAAACCUAGAA